GGUAAAAUAAUGUAUGUUGGUGUAGAUGCUGAUGAUUAUAACAACAAUGUAGAUCGUAACUGGUUAAUUGAAUCAGAUGAAGACGAAUUGGUGACGUUUAACAUAAGACAUUUGGAUCUACAUUCAUGUACUAGCUGUGGAUGUGAUUAUAUUAAGAUUUAUAACGGAAAGAAUGACAGUGAUCCAGUUAUUGGCAAGUAUUGCGGUAACACUAUACCACCACUCAUAAUUUCUACGUCCAAUUUCUUGUAUAUUAUAUUCCACACCGACUCAAGUCAUACAGGAACAGGUUUUAUCGCUACAGUUAGUCAAAUAAAACAUUUGAAAAUUAAUACACGAGGUAAACCAAUGUAUGUUGGUGUAGAUGCUGAUGAUUAUAAGGACAAUGUAGAUCGUAACUGGUUAAUUGAAGCAGAUGAAGACCAAUUGGUGAG